rnacentral:rRNA from 1 species
GAUGAACGCUGGCGGCGUGCCUAAUACAUGCAAGUCGAGCGAACGGACGAGAAGCUUGCUUCUCUGAUGUUAGCGGCGGACGGGUGAGUAACACGUGGAUAACCUACCUAUAAGACUGGGCUAACUUCGGGCAACCGGAGCUAAUACCGGAUGAUAUUUUGAACCGCAUUGUUCAAAAGUGAAAGACGGUCUUGCUGUCACUUAUAGAUGGAUCCGCGCUGCAUUAGCUAGUUGGUAAGGUAACGGCUUACCAAGGCAACGAUGCAUAGCCGACCUGAGAGGGUGAUCGGCCACACUGGAACUGAGACACGGUCCAGACUCCUACGGGAGGCAGCAGUAGGGAAUCUUCCGCAAUGGGCGAAAGCCUGACGGAGCAACGCCGCGUGAGUGAUGAAGGUCUUCGGAUCGUAAAACUCUGUUAUUAGGGAAGAACAUAUGUGUAAGUAACUGUGCACAUCUUGACGGUACCUAAUCAGAAAGCCACGGCUAACUACGUG